CGCCUAACACAUGCAAGUCGAACGCAGUAGCAAUACUGAGUGGCAAACGGGUGAGUAUAAUGUGGGAAUCUGCCUUUUGGUUCGGAAUAACACGAGGAAACUUGUGCUAAUACCGGAUAAGCCCUUACGGGGAAAGUUUUAAUGCCAAAAGAUGAGCCCGCACUUGAUUAGCUAGUUGGUAAGGUAAUGGCUUACCAAGGCAACGAUCAAUAGCUGUUCUUAGAGGAAGACCAGCCACAUUGGGACUGAGACACGGCCCAAACUCCUACGGGAGGCAGCAGUGGGGAAUCUUGCACAAUGGGGGAAACCCUGAUGCAGCGAUGCCGCGUGAGUGAAGAAGGCCCUUGGGUUGUAAAACUCUUUCGUCGGGGAAGAAAAUGACUGUACCCGAAUAAGAAGGUCCGGCUAACUUCGUGCCAGCAGCCGCGGUAAUACGAAGGGACCUAGCGUAGUUCGGAAUUACUGGGCUUAAAGAGUUCGUAGGUGGUUAAAAAAGUUGAUGGUGAAAUCCCAAGGCUCAACCUUGGAACUGCCAUCAAAACUUUUUAGCUAGAGUGUGAUAGAGGAAAGUGGAAUUUCUAGUGUAGAGGUGAAAUUCGUAGAUAUUAGAAAGAACAUCAAAAGCGAAGGCAACUUUCUGGAUCAUUAUUGACACUGAGGAACGAAAGCAUGGGUAGCGAAGAGGAUUAGAUACCCUCGUAGUCCAUGCCGUAAACGAUGUGUGCUAGACGUUGGAAACUUAGUUUUCAGUGUCGCAGCGAAAGCAUUAAGCACACCGCCUGGGGAGUACGACCGCAAGGUUAAAACUCAAAUGAAUUGACGGGGACCC
rnacentral:rRNA from 1 species